GUGAGCGUCUUCCAACGGCAGGAUGUGUGCUUGCCAUGCACACGAUGCGGGUUCGAUUCCCGUCGCUCGCA
rnacentral:tRNA from 2 species